UAUAUACUGCCACCGGGUAGUGAAUGCGAAAAGCAUUUGUAAGCACAUCAUUAGGUCUUAGAAGAUGUGUAUACAAAUGCUUUUUUGUU
rnacentral:ncRNA from 1 species